ensembl:lncRNA
GUAUUUUUGAAAACGGAGAUUUUUCUAUGCGUUUGCACCUUUCGUCCACACGUAAACGGCGUUUUCGGUCACUGAAAACGGAGAUUUUUAAAAACGCCUGCCAGGGUGGAUAUUUCCGAAAACUCCGUUUUUGCAUUUACGUGUGGACGAGAAAAACGGAGAAAACGCAGCGUCAAAGGUGUGCGCCUUUUUUGACGUCACACUGUGCGCCACGUUAUUGUUUCGGUGAAAUGAAUUUCUACAAUACUGUUAAUUGUACUCUCUGCAGUGUUUAAAUGCUUACAUAUACACACACAGUUACUGUCCCUCCACACAGAGGACUCGGUUCUGCUUCUAUGCCCCAUCUUUGUUUACUAUUUCCUACCGAGGCUUCUAGACUUCUGAUUGGCCAACAUUUCUACAUGGUUAGGAAUAUAUCGCCACCUGUUGCGUUGGCAUGUUCCUAGCAGCGUUUUCCUUCAUUUCUGCGUUUACGUGUGGACGGGAUUAUUUUUUAAAACGAAAACGGAAAAUCUCCGUGUACGUGUGGACGUAGCCUUGAUAUGCCCAACUAUAUACCAGGAUUAACUGCGAGUGAAAGGUUGAAGAAAAGUGGUGGACGGUCGAAGUGAGGCGGUCCAGAAAUCUUCAAAAUAUGAGUCAGAGUGCUCUGUCAUGUGGAUGGUAAAGUUUUCCAAGGCCUAACAAGAAGAAAGUUUCCAUCGAAUGAAACUAAAAACUGAAAAUAAAUAGAGGAGCGCUCGGACCUUCCUCGGCAGCGCC